rfam:Lupinus angustifolius cultivar Tanjil chromosome LG20, whole genome shotgun sequence.
AGAUGCAAUUAUACCAACACUAAUGCACUAAAUCUCCCAUCAGAACUUUGUAGUUAAGCGCUUUUAGCGAGAGUAGUACUAGGAUGAGUGACCUCCUGGGAAGUCUUCGUGUUGCACCUC